rnacentral:rRNA from 1 species
AGAGUUUGAUCCUGGCUCAGAGUGAACGCUGGCGGCGUGCCUAAUACAUGCAAGUCGAACGGUAACAGGGUGUAGCUUGCUACACUGCUGACGAGUGGCGCACGGGUGAGUAAUGCAUAGGUUAUGUGCCCCAUAGUCUGGAAUAGCCACUGGAAACGGUGAUUAAUACCGGAUAUUCCCGAGAGGGGAAAGUUUUUCGCUAUGGGAUCAGCCUAUGUCCUAUCAGCUUGUUGGUGAGGUAAUGGCUCACCAAGGCUAUGACGGGUAUCCGGCCUGAGAGGGUGAUCGGACACACUGGAACUGAGACACGGUCCAGACUCCUACGGGAGGCAGCAGUAGGGAAUAUUGCUCAAUGGGCGAAAGCCUGAAGCAGCAACGCCGCGUGGAGGAUGAAGGUC